UUACACAUGCAAGUCGAACGGUGAAGCCAAGCUUGCUUGGUGGAUCAGUGGCGAACGGGUGAGUAACACGUGAGCAACCUGCCCUGGACUCUGGGAUAAGCGCUGGAAACGGCGUCUAAUACUGGAUAUGAGCUCUCAUCGCAUGGUGGGGGUUGGAAAGAUUUUUCGGUCUGGGAUGGGCUCGCGGCCUAUCAGCUUGUUGGUGAGGUAAUGGCUCACCAAGGCGUCGACGGGUAGCCGGCCUGAGAGGGUGACCGGCCACACUGGGACUGAGACACGGCCCAGACUCCUACGGGAGGCAGCAGUGGGGAAUAUUGCACAAUGGGCGGAAGCCUGAUGCAGCAACGCCGCGUGAGGGAUGACGGCCUUCGGGUUGUAAACCUCUUUUAGCAGGGAAGAAGCGAGAGUGACGGUACCUGCAGAAAAAGCGCCGGCUAACUACGUGCCAGCAGCCGCGGUAAUACGUAGGGCGCAAGCGUUAUCCGGAAUUAUUGGGCGUAAAGAGCUCGUAGGCGGUUUGUCGCGUCUGCUGUGAAAUCCCGAGGCUCAACCUCGGGCCUGCAGUGGGUACGGGCAGACUAGAGUGCGGUAGGGGAGAUUGGAAUUCCUGGUGUAGCGGUGGAAUGCGCAGAUAUCAGGAGGAACACCGAUGGCGAAGGCAGAUCUCUGGGCCGUAACUGACGCUGAGGAGCGAAAGGGUGGGGAGCAAACAGGCUUAGAUACCCUGGUAGUCCACCCCGUAAACGUUGGGAACUAGUUGUGGGGACCAUUCCACGGUUUCCGUGACGCAGCUAACGCAUUAAGUUCCCCGCCUGGGGAGUACGGCCGCAAGGCUAAAACUCAAAGGAAUUGACGGGGACCCGCACAAGCGGCGGAGCAUGCGGAUUAAUUCGAUGCAACGCGAAGAACCUUACCAAGGCUUGACAUACACCAGAACACCGUAGAAAUACGGGACUCUUUGGACACUGGUGAACAGGUGGUGCAUGGUUGUCGUCAGCUCGUGUCGUGAGAUGUUGGGUUAAGUCCCGCAACGAGCGCAACCCUCGUUCUAUGUUGCCAGCACGUAAUGGUGGGAACUCAUGGGAUACUGCCGGGGUCAACUCGGAGGAAGGUGGGGAUGACGUCAAAUCAUCAUGCCCCUUAUGUCUUGGGCUUCACGCAUGCUACAAUGGCCGGUACAAAGGGCUGCAAUACCGUGAGGUGGAGCGAAUCCCAAAAAGCCGGUCCCAGUUCGGAUUGAGGUCUGCAACUCGACCUCAUGAAGUCGGAGUCGCUAGUAAUCGCAGAUCAGCAACGCUGCGGUGAAUACGUUCCCGGGUCUUGUACACACCGCCCGUCAAGUCAUGAAAGUCGGUAACACCUGAAGCCGGUGGCCUCAACCCUUGUGGAGGG
rnacentral:rRNA from 1 species